ensembl:lncRNA
AUGGAAUUGACAGAUUUUAACAAGUUAUGUCUGCCAUUUUCUUUUUCUUUUCAAAUUACAGCAUUACGAGCACUACUGACUCUCCACUGCAUAAUAUCCGACGAUCUAUUCAGGGCACGACCUGCAUUUUUCUCUGCAGCUGAACGCUUGGUUUUGGGUUUUCUCCAAGCAGCAGUUCUUCUGAAUUGUUCUUCCCACCCAUCAACCCCAAACCACCCUUGCCCCUCCCCCCCCCCCCCCCCCCCCCCCCCACAAAAAAAAAAAAAAAAAAAAAAAAAAAAAAAAAUUGUUAAUUCAUUUUAAUACUAAGUUGAUAUUUUGUUUUAUAAUUUGUGUUCAAAUACUACUGUUCUUUUAAAAGUUAAUUCAUUUUAAUACUAGGUUAAUAAUUUGUGUUUAAUUUGUUAUUGUCCUUUUCUUUGGAAAAAAAGUUUGUUCCUAUUAAUACUAUAUUCAUUAUUUGAUUUAUUUGCUACUGUUCUUUUUAUUGAAAAAAAAAAAAGUUUAUUAGCUGUAUUUGCAAGUCAUUCUUUUUCUUGUCAAUUAACUAACUAGUUUUUUUUUUUGAGAAUACUUUGCAGGCAAUAUCGCUGCAGCAUUUUGUGAAGUAAGUGACUGAAAAUAUCCUGUAAAAAAAUUCUUAUUGAAUACAGUACUUUUGACUGUAGCAUUAAAACCAUUUUAUAGUCAUUUUUAAUCAGAAAUCUGUUCAAACUCAUAAUGAAGAAAAGGUGACAGUUGUUUGCGAAACAUUUAUUUAAGAGACGAUCAUCUGCUUAUUAUUAUUAUUAUUAUUGAAAAACAAUCAGAACAGAUAAUCAGGACGUUAAACUUGGAUAAUUUAAUUCCUUUUAGCGACAAAAAAAUGUUGUGUAUUAGAUCAUAAAAUUUGCAAAAGGCUGCAAUUUAACUAAAUUAACUUAUUCUAAUGAGGAGUAUGUUUGAAAAUUAAGCACUUCCAGGGCUCCAAACUGCCACUAAAACAGUCGCAUUUGCGGCCAUAAAUAUUAAUUUGCGAGUGAUGUUUUUGCUGAGGUCGCCACUGGCGACUACCCGCCGAAAGCUCCUCAGGAUUUAACCGCUAAAAAAGUUUUCUCAGGCGGAUGAUUUGCUUCAUUCUAGCAGUGCCCCGUCUGUGAUAAAACGAACUCGGGCCGAAGGUUAAUACACACAACUACACACCGAGUGUGGACCUGCCGCGUGUACAACAGCUUUCAGCUGAGAUCGGCCCAUAGAGAAAAAGCCGUCUGUCAGCCAGAAGUGUUUUGUAGAGUCGGCGCGGCUCUGGUCCAUUAUCUUCUCA